ACAAAUAACCUAGGAACUUCUAACAAUGGACAUAGUACCAUCAGCAUCUUUAUGAGGGUACUCUUUAGCGCAUCUGUUACAGACUUAUCAAAGCAACCAAACUAUUUAGCACCAUAUGUAGAACUGUUGAUAUCUGUUACUCUGUUACAUACUUGGUACAUCGAAAUUGGUCUCCCAUUAAAUAAGCCAGCACGCAGGCCAGACCAACAAAGGGGAAAUCCCAACUAAUAAGGAGAGAGAACUCCUUGAGUAGCAUUCUUCAUCUUCUGUUGUGCCUGCCUCCCAGCGGCCUGCUGCAGCAGCAAGGGCCUGCCGUCGGCACGGCCGCCGCCGGCCCGCUAUUCCGCGCACGCGCCGGACCACGCCGAGCCACCGUCCAUCUCUAGCACCCGCCGUAUCUCCUUGUCGCUCUCUGCUCCUGCAACCAUACAUGCAUGCAUCAGCGUCUCAAGCUGCCAAAUUUAGGGAAAUCGUACAAGAACAUGCAGGGACCAAGAUCUAGGGAUCGAAUUAACAUAAAAGAUUGGAGAAUAUUUAAUAC
rnacentral:lncRNA from 1 species